rnacentral:lncRNA from 1 species
UAGGGUUUGGUCCGAGUUUUGAACUAAGGAAUGUUUGAUAAAAAUUGAACCCACAAUCUAACCAAAACCCAGCCUCUUUUCUUCGUGGGUCGGUUGAGACUCAAUUCAACAUGGAAAAAUCCAUAAUCCAUCUACCAAAACAAUUGAAAGUGAUUGAAAUUGCAAUAGCCAUGGAAGCACGCAACUAUAUCUCUCUAUAAUCUCCUCUUCUUUUUCUUCCUUUUUCAAGCGGAACCGUUGUUAGCGGUGAAAAGCGGAUUUAACCCAUAAAAAAAUUUCACUACUGCAAAUUGCUACACAUCUCGCGUUU